GAUGAACGCUGACAGAAUGCUUAACACAUGCAAGUCUACUUGAAUUUGGGUUUUUUAACUUAGAUUUGGGUGGCGGACGGGUGAGUAACGCGUAAAAAACUUGCCUCACAGUUAGGGACAACAUUUGGAAACGAAUGCUAAUACCUGAUAUUAUGAAUAUAUGGCAUCAUAUAAUUAUGAAAGCUAUAAGCGCUGUGAGAGAGCUUUGCGUCCCAUUAGCUAGUUGGAGAGGUAACGGCUCACCAAGGCGAUGAUGGGUAGCCGGCCUGAGAGGGUGAACGGCCACAAGGGGACUGAGACACGGCCCUUACUCCUACGGGAGGCAGCAGUGGGGAAUAUUGGACAAUGGACCAAGAGUCUGAUCCAGCAAUUCUGUGUGCACGAUGACGUUUUUCGGAAUGUAAAGUGCUUUCAGUUGGGAAGAAAAAAAUGACGGUACCAACAGAAGAAGAGACGGCUAAAUACGUG
rnacentral:rRNA from 1 species